CUCGCCACGUGUCACGAAAAGGAACAGGGUACGCUGAGAUGGACGCAUGAGGAGCCUUUCUGCUCAACUUUAUUAAUAUAGAUUCUUGUUUGAUGCCUCGUUACAUGUUAUGCUAAUGUAAGAUAAAUGAGUUACACCAACUAGAGUACACAGUAACACAUAGAUAAUUAUUUCCAAGAAAUACGACUAGAUUAAUCUUUUUAAAAGCACAUACAAGUUUUUCUUAAAAAUAAUUCUUUAAUCAAGCUCAAGACAAAGUUUGACUUGUUUAUUAUUCUCACUCGCUCACAGACAUGUAACAGUAUAUGAACCACUCAAGCUCUUAACCCCCAUAGACGCUUUGCUUCUCCUUAUUCGGACUUGCAAACCUCUC
rnacentral:lncRNA from 1 species